AUGAACGCUGGCGGCGUGCCUAAUACCUGCAAGUCGAGCGAACGGACGAGAAGCUUGCUUCUCUGAUGUUAGCGGCGGACGGGUGAGUAACACGUGGAUAACCUACCUAUAAGACUGGGAUAACUUCGGGAAACCGGAGCUAAUACCGGAUGAUAUUUUGAACCGCAUGGUUCAAAAGUGAAAGACGGUCUUGCUGUCACUUAUAGAUGGAUCCGCGCUGCAUUAGCUAGUUGGUAAGGUAACGGCUUACCAAGGCAACGAUGCAUAGCCGACCUGAGAGGGUGAUCGGCCACACUGGAACUGAGACACGGUCCAGACUCCUACGGGAGGCAGCAGUAGGGAAUCUUCCGCAAUGGGCGAAAGCCUUACGGAGCAACGCCGCGUGAGUGAUGAAGGUCUUCGGAUCGUAAAACUCUGUUAUUAGGGAAGAACAUAUGUGUAAGUAACUGUGCACAUCUUGACGGUACCUAAUCAGAAAGCCACGGCUAACUACGUG
rnacentral:rRNA from 1 species